UCCCCCCUAACCCUGCUGCUGCCUCUCACUUCCCCUAAUAGCCCACUGGUGUUGCUAGUCCCCCCAUCACUUCCCCCCACAACCCCCUGGCCCUGCUGGUGCCCCUCACUCCCCACCCUACAGACCCCUGGCCCCACAGCCCUGCCAGGGGAGGCCCCCAGCUGCCAGAAAUAUGGGGCCAGGGACUCAGCUCUGCAUCCUUCUGCCCCUUUAGCAGUGCCUGAGCCCCGUCUGCCGCCCAUGGUGGAGUUGGUGGCUGCUGCAGCAUAGUGGAGUGCAGAGCCCGGCUCCCCUUCCCCAUUGGUGGCACGACUGCUGCAGGCUUGGGUGGGGGGUGGGGUCAGCUCCCUGCCACUGCACACACUCCUGGGGGUAGAGGGUCUCAUGCCCCCAGAUCUGUGCAUGGGGUGGGGGCAGGCUGCCUUCUGUGGGCUCGGGCUACCCACCCUGCUGCUCUGCCAGGGCCUCCACAGCCUAGAUGGUGGGACCCAGCGCAACCGGACAGAGCGGGGCCCAGCUGGGAAUUUCCUUGCCGCUAUAAGCUCUGCACUGCCCCUGCAUGCCGUGCAACAGCAAGGGGCAGGACUCUUGGCUUCUGCUUCCACUGCUGUGGGAAGUGCAGUGGGCUCAUUGCCAGAGCAGUGCACAGCUCACAGUGGGAAGGAGCUUCCCCACCCAGCCCUGCUUUUCCCUGCUGGGCUGCAGAGGCCCCACAGGAGGGCAAAAGUCAUCCUCCUUGUCCUGAUGGCAGGCUAGGAUUGGUAGGACAUGAUCUUCUGGCUUUGUGGUCUGCAAUCUUUGGGGGUCAUUGCUUGUAGCUUUCAGCCAUCAGGGUGAAGCAUGAUAUAGUAUUUGAUAAUUCUUAUCUGCCAACUCGACGUCGCUGCAGCCUUUAACUGUUAAACCACAGAAGGCUAUUUUCACCUGCUGCAAGAGGAUUGUCUUCCUUCACAUUGUCACAUACAUACAUCAUUCAUUCUUUCAUUACUUCUUUUUAAACAUGUUAGACAUAUCACAGACCUUACAUAAGCAUUUUCCUUAUGCCAAAUUUAGGUUCUAAAAUCAUGAAACCAAUAGGUCAAAUAUAUUUAUGCUAAGCAAUAGGAAAUUUAAAAUAGAUGGCUAAUUCCAGAACAGUAAUGACUGAUUAAAAUAUUAUAAAAAGUAAAUCAUAACACAAUUACAUUUAUCUUAAUGGCUAAAUAAUUCAUUAUAUAAAAAUAAAAGUAACAAUAUGAGCAAUCAAAGCAAUUAUAGCUACUGCAAUACACUACCAUCCCAGCCCCAUCUCCCCUCGAGCUGCUACUCCUCAUUUGACCCCAUGGUUUCCUCUGGCCUCUUCCCCCCACAGCCCUGCCAUCUGCAGGGAAGAUGGUUUCUACUCCCAUUGCAGAGCGGCAUAACAUGCUGGUGAGUUUGCCCUCAGUAAGGAUGGCUGCUGUCACUGAGGCUUUCCAAUGAGACUGAAGUCAGGAUCCUCUGGCUUCUGAGAGAAAUGAAGGGAGCCAUGGGACAGCACUGGGGAAGGGGACAAUGGAGAGCAGGAGGGUCUGGUAGGGCAGGAAGGAAAGAUAAGAGGAUGGGAGGCUGGGGUGCCAGGUCACCUAGAUGUAGGGGUGUGGGAGCUGAGAGGUGCAGACUGAAAGACAUAAGAGAGGCAUAAGAACAGAGAACUACUAGUUACGGGGUUAGAUUAUAGGUCCAUCUUGCCCAGUAGCCUCUGUCACACACAGGCAGACAGAGGAUGCCAAAAGGUAGAGUGAACAGGGGGAGAAGAUGUGAGUUACAGAGAAAGGGGAGAAGAUAGAAUGGCAGCUAUGAGAUCUCUCGUUUCCCCUCAUUACUGAGCAGAGGCUUUGGUGGUCCAAUUUCUCCGGGUGGGGGGGAAGUGGGGUACAGACUUUCUGCCUCCAGCCUCUCAGCCCUACCUCUUCAUACCUCCUGUAAUUGCCAUAUGCUCCUGCCCUGUUUCCCCCAUACCUGCCAUCCCCCUACUCCCCUGCCAUUCAUUGUUCAAGCAGAAAAGGAGAGCAAAGGCAGCCAGCACCACAUCCAGGUUGUGUUUCUGCCUCCACAUACACCAUCCUCUUGCAUCAGUCUCUCUGAAAAUGGGCUUCUCCACCUUCCUAGACAUGCACAACCUGUAGCAUCUCCCCUCAGAAAGCUAUUUAUCAGAACAUCCCCUUUGUCACAUGCCAGAGAGCAAAAUUAUACAUGAAUCCCAGAGACUGAUCCUAAAGGUACCAUUCUACCACAGCCUUGACAAAUUUCCUCCAUGGUACUGAGGUCCACAUUUAAGGUGACCCUGAUGUCAUUGAAGUUGGCUAUUUGUGUUGCCAAGGUAAGGUCAUUCGUAUAUACUAAUUUGCAUAAUUUUGUUGAUGGCACAUGGCUUCUUUAUACUUUAAAGAGUGUUGGUGCAAGUACUGAAUGUUGUAGCAGUCCAUUGCUGAGGAACCAGGAUGAGCUGACUCUGUCACUCUGUCAUACAUUGCUCCUCCACCCAUUCGUUGUAAAGCAGCAAAUUAAGGAAAACAAACAUCUCCCCAUCCACAAUGACCUCAACAGUGCCCUUCACCAUUGCCUAAAGUGGUGCAAACCCUUCUGGAUCCAUGCACUUAACCUUCAACAAUGUGACCUCAAACUUAAUGAAGCUUGGCAAACCAAAUGGAAUUCACAGGAAGUCCCAAAUAUACAUCUUGUGAUAGAUCCAGUGCAGAAGGUCCUUUGCUUUGACCUCCCAAAACUCUCAGGGGCAACUCUAUACCAUAUCUCCACAAACCAUGGGGGAUGCGGAUACUUGAUACACAAAUGGAAAAUUAAAAACUCUCCAGUGUGCAACUGUGGUCACCCAGAGCAGACCAUGGAACUUAUUAAUAAUGACUCAGUGCCUAAAGUACAAAUCUGAAGGAGCUAUCACAACAAUUCACUCUGCUGCUCCUGAUGAAAUUGUCUGGCUCACCUAAGCAGCUGGCUUUACCUAAAUGUAAAGUUAUAGUUGCUGUUCUGUAUCUACAUCAGCCAUAUAAAAAAAGACCAUAGCCCCCUGUGGCAGGGCACUGUUUGUGCCUGCCACUUUAAGACCUGGGGCCAAGCAGCCAGCAGGUACUUAAUUGCAGGGGCCAUUUUAGAGCUCUGGCCACCCAUAUAAACAGGGCAUUUUGCUACUGGUUGGAGGCAUAGGAACAUUGCCUGGCUGUGAGGCUUCAUAGAACACUCUGGAGGUAAGAGAGGAGCUGUAAGGGAUGGUCAGGAGGCUUCUGGUCCUGGGCAUGACCUAAAAUUGUGCCCUGCCAGGAGUGUGGCCUGGUGGGGCUCUCAGUGGUGUGGGAGCCCCCAGGAAAUGCCAGGCCAGUUACCAGCCUGGUGAAAGUUGGGUUGGGGUGCCUGAACCCCAGCUCCCACAACUGGGUGGGUUACCCCCUUGUAGGGUCUGGAAGGUGGACCCCAGUGAGAGAGGGGGGCCAUAGACUCAGAAGCCUGUCUCGACAUCUCCCAACUGGUCAAUGCUGGGACCAGGACCAGAAGGGUAAAAGGGCCAAGGGCCCACCAUGAGGGAUGCCCAGAGCUGAGGGCCUGGGGUUCUGACUGGCCUGGAGGUGGGCCAAGGCCAGUAGCCAAAGGUCCUGGGGGGACCACACCUGUAAGGGGGAAAUAGCUGGGGGAGCUAUGCUGCCCAGGAUGAAGGCAAAGUAGGCCGCCUGAAUGGAUGCAUCCAGGUGGGGUUCAAAUAGUAGGAUCUUGGGACUCAGAGUGGGGCUGGUGAAGUUGACAAGAGAAGAUGCCAUCUGUGAGGUAUGGGCUGCGGUGUAGGGAAGGUAUGGAGCUGCAGAUAGUGCCCCCCUGGCACCGGGGCAAGAAAUGGGCAGCCUCCUGCUUAUUAAGAUGAUUGAUUGAUUAAUAUCAAGGUGUGGCAGGUGAGAAGGUGGGCGGUUGGCCCAGAACAGGUGGGCAGGCCAAAGGUUAAUAGGCCCCAAGAAGGCCCCCUGUUACACCCCUACACACCUGUCAUCAUAUGUAUACGACCGUAUACCAAUUCUUUUUAUUUUACUUUAUCUUCACUUGACUGACAACUCGGGCACUGUCUCCUGGUUGGAUGUUUCACACCUUAGUCUGGCACACAGCUUUGUGUGAGCUUCACAAGAGGCUUAAUAUUAAAGCAAGCAAGAGCUUUUUUGAUGACAAUAAGAACAUGCAUUGCACUGUGUUCUUCCAUUGGUGACUUAAGAAUCAGUCUGAUAACCAUCAAUUGCUCACUGGGCUAUACAUCUUCUGUGUCCUGUCAAUCGGGUCUCACCAAAAAACACAUUUCACGAAUUUCUGCUCCCAUGUUUUUUAGGGCAGUGUUUUGUUUUGUUCUGUUUUUGUAGGAAUAGGAAGCAAAGCAGAUAGAGGAGAUUGAUUUAAUGGCCUCCCCACAAGGAAGUGUACUUGCAUUACUGUUAUAUAACAUCCAUGUGAACGACUGGCCAAUCGAUUUUUGGAGCUUCCUCAUCAGCACCCAAUCUCUCAAAGCCACAGUGAAGGAAACACAACUACAGAUGUGUAAUGAGACACUGAAGAAAAUACCUAGCUGCUGGCAUGUCCAUAUUUUUGCUGUAAAGUCCUCACCCUCAGGGGCUGAUGAACCAUGGCAAAGGCGGCAAUGUCUAAACUGCCUAUAUACUAGAUGUUGGCGCUAGAUUUAUGACACAGAUACCUUGUUCUGGGCAGAUCCUCAAACUGACCAUGACUUCUUCCAUUCAAUAAUAAGCACAGUCUAUUGAUACACCAUGAUAGCAGAUAAGAAUAAUGCAGGCAAGGCAAACAAAAUACACCCCACCCCCCCGAUUCUAUAUAUACCAGUCCUAGGGUUCACAGAGGAAAGGUACACUUGGUCAGUAUGCGAACUUCACCCUAUUGCUCUUUCUUGAAUGUCAGAUGUCCGCCUGGAGGUCAAGGACUGACUGGGGUAGAUGAGAUAGCUGGUGAUGCACCUUCUGUCCACAGUGCCCUUGGGGACCCUUUCCAACUGUGAAAUCCCUCCUUUUGUACAGGAAACUCUUGCUAUUCACUAGUUCAGCGUUCGCAGUUUCAAAUAUUCAUGAAUGCUGAACCCACAUCUAUUUGGCAAUUAUUUGGGCCCGAGGGCCACAUAGGGAGUUUUGAUAAGCUGUGGUGGGCUGGGUUGGCAUCACUCACCACAAAACCUCACAAAGGCUUUUGAUGGCACCUUGGGUGAGUGGGGAGCAAUGUUUGGGAGCUGGAAAGGUGUGAUCCGCUCCCUGCACACCCUGCUCUGUGGGGGGUGGGGCAAGUGUGGCUGGAGGUGUGUAGAGGGGGCAUGUAUGUGUGGUGGGGGAGGCUCUGUGGGGGGCAGUGGCUGCCUGGGAGCCAGCCAGGGAUGAGGAGAGGUAGGGGGAGGAGCAUGCAGCAGAGCUUGCCUGGUCAGCAUCUGCCCCAGGCAGGGCAGUAUGUGCUGUGUUCCCACCUGCCCCCACCAGCUCAGAAGCUGUGCAGGCUGGCUGAAGCCCAGGUUGAUGGGGCUGUUCUGUUUCCCUCGCCUCCAGAUGUGGCUGCUGCUCCUGCCCCUGCUGCACCACUUUGGGCAGAGGGGAAGCUUCAAACAGGUGGCUCCUGCCCAGUGCAUGGGGCUUCGUCUCUAGCUCCUGGCCACCUUCCACCCACUCUGCCCACUCACAGGUGGCUGCUCAUCACACCAGGCAGGCAGAGUGGGUGGAAGGCAGCUGGGACCUGGAGCCAGAGCUCCAUGCACUGGGGUAGGAGAUGCCCAGCUAAAGCUCCCCACCCACCUGCCUGGAGAUCAGAAGAGCUGGGAUCUCCCAGCUAUAGGAGGGCCCAGAGUAUAAUGGCAAAUUAAAGUGGGAUAGAAACCAGCUAUAAAGUCAUCAUUGUUUUUUCAUUGUUUCUGGAGGGUUUUCCUUCUUCUUUGGAGAUGGUCUUGCCUUUUAAUUGACUCCUUUAUGGAAGCCCCCUCCCUCCUGACACCACAUCCCAUGGAUGACAACAAAGCACGAGAGUCCAGACAGGGCAGCACUGUGGCUUUAUUGCUUUCCUUUUCAUCAACUGACUUUUACUAUCACAGGUCCUCCAUGUAAUAGGCCUGUGCGAAGCAGGAUUUGGAUUUGGAUUCGGCCAAUUCGGACGGACAGUGAUUUGAUUCAAAGAUUCAAAUCACUGUCCCAAUUUUGAUUCAGCCGAAUCAGAUCCAAAGAUUCAGCGCCACUUCAGAAAUUCAGCCAUAGACUAAACAGGCAGCAGUCCUCACCAGGGUGGACACAGGUGCCUCCAGCUGGACCAGCUGCUGAUUGACUCUUCCUUCCGUCUUGUCAACCCCAGAUUACAUCCUGGACAACAUCAUCUGCCUCUGCCUGGGCAGGGAGGGUCUGCUCAUCCUGCAACUGAUUGUGACUGAACUAACAUACAUCUGGAGGAAGGAGCGGGGGCUCAACUGAUUUCCCCACCUUCCCUCUCCUACUACCUCUCUGCAGAGUGAUGCAGCUGGUACAGGAGGAGCACAGUGGAGUCACUCCAUGACAUUGCAAACCCAAUCAGGGUGCUUGCACCCUUGGGAUGUGGAUUUGCAGCAGGCUGUGCAUACAGCUAUAGCAGUGAGCAUAUCAGCUGAAGCUUGGAGCUGAAGGCCGCAGAAUGCACGCAGGCUAUUGGACAGCUGCAACUCCAGACAGAAGCCAGGAAAACAAGGGGAGCAGCUGAGGAGAGGGCUGGGCAAAGGAGCUGAGAACUGCAGCUAGAAGCUCAGUCAUAGUGGACUCCAAGAUGAACAUGAGUUGUCUGUGUGAUGAAAUCAUCAGCAAAGCUAACCACACUUUAUCAUGCAUUGGCAGAUGCAUGACAAAUAGAACCAAGGAGAUGAUAUUUCUCCUCUAUGCGGCAUUGGUCAGACCGCAGUUGGAGUACUUUUUCCAGUUCUGGGUGCCGUACUUUAAGAAGGAUGUGGAUAACCUCAAGAGGAUCCAGAGGAGAGCCACUCUUAUGGUUAAGGGUUUGCAGGCCAAGACCUAUGAGGAGAAACUAAGGGACCUGGAUCUCUUCAGCCUCCGCAAGAGAAGGCUGAGAGGUGAUCUUGUGGCCGCCUACAAAUUCAUUAGGGGGGCGCAGCAAGGAAUCGGAGAUGCUCUGUUCACCAGGGCGCCUCUUGGGAUAACAAGGAACAAUGAUCACAAACUGACAGCAGAUUUAGGCUGGACAUCAGAAAGAGCUUCUUCACGGUAACAGUAGCCAAAGUUUGAAAUGAGCUUCUAAGGGAGGUGGUACUCUCCCCUACCUUGGGGGUCUUUAAGAGAAGGCUGGAUAGGAAUCUGGCUGGGGUCAUCUGACCCCAGCACUCUUUCCUGUCUAGGCAGGGGGUCAGACUUGAUGAUUUGUUGAGGUCCCUUCCGACCCUAGCAUCUAUGAAGCUAUGACGGGGGGUGGGGGGGAGGCCAGUCGCGUUCACCAAUCAAGGCCUGACACCUAGUGAGAUGAGAUACCCAGUCCAUAAGCUAGAAUUUUUUUUUUUUGUGGGGGGUGGGGAUGGCAGCUGAACUGAUCUCACUAUUUUAUGUGGAGGAAACUCAAGACCCAAAGAAAUAGGGGGGAAUAUGCUCACAGUAGCACAGACUGCCUGUGUCUAUGUUACUGUGAGCAAACCCUGGAGCCCCAAGCCACAGCCUGGUGCUUUAACCAUGAUUCACAUUGCCACCCUGGAGUCAUCAAAAAAAGUCAUGACACUGCCCUACAGUUUCUGAAAUUUUAAUACCAUCUGACAUUUUUGCUUUUGCUGUCAGAGCUGCUGGGGUGGCCUUAUUGGAGUCUCCCAGCACUCUAGGAGCCAGGGCUUUAAGAUGAACAUCAAGCUUAUAAGGCUGGGGAUAAACUGGCUAGAGUUAACAGUAUGUCUGGGGCAUGAAGGUAUUUCCUCUUGGCUUCCAGCUCCAGAAUGAUACACAGGAGGGUGGAAAAGAGAAUUCAGGCCAGGCACUGCUUACUCUAGCACGGAUUGCUGCACUGAUUCUCCUAACAUCACACAUUUACACAUAUUAUCUUGAAGUGCAAUCUACCUCAUGAUGGUGCAGGGUAGGGACAAUGAUCCCAGAUUUGGUUAAUUUGUUCCUGAGAUAAAACAUCUCAAAAAUUGUGUCCCUACUAUCUCCUAGUUCUUUUUUCUAUGUAUGCCUGGGGUGGAAACAAUAGUUUCAGUCUGCCCCAGACUGAUCUCAGCUGCUUGGGACUUAUUUUAGCUGAUCCCUUCUGGGAGGGAUAUUUCCAAAUCUUGUAAGAGUAAAGUGGAAAGAGCUGUUGAGAUGAGCUGAUGUGCCAAAGACAAAGAAAGGAGCACAUCCACAAAUAGCAGAGAUCUGUUUAGGACAGAAGGUUUGCAGGAGGGUUUUGUCAAGAUAAUGUGAUGACUCAAGGUGAUGAGCUCCUGACACUGAACCUAAGCAAGUGCCAUGUACUAUGAGUCUGAACCCCCCGUCAACUGUCAGGUGAAGUGUGCCGUGGAGCAGUACAGGGGAUGUGAGGUUGGCAGAGGGAAGGAUAGGGCUCUGCUAUUUUGCUAACAUUUCCUGCAGUAGCUGUACUGUAGCACUGCUGUUGGGAAGCCAGCACACCACUAACCAAUGGAGUCUUUUAAUUGUAGGAUUUUAGCCAAGCUCCAGCAUUCUGUAAAUCUAGUUUUGUAACCACUAUUUUGAAGAAAAACUGGGUUCCUCAAAUGUAGUUCUCCUAGGAUCCUUCAAUGAAUAAGGGCUUAUCUUCAAAGAGAUCUCUCUGGGGGCACAGAAACAGAAUCAGACCAUCUGCCUCUCUGUGGGAAGGAUGACUGUGCUUAGCAGGCAAGGGCAGAAGAAAGGACAAUAAUGAAGGGCAACAAAAAAACUACAAUGCAACCUCAUAAUAACCAACCACUGCUUUUAACAAUCCCAGUAGCAGGAAUCAUUUUUUUCAUUAUUAUGUUACAGCAAAUUGCCUAUCUCUAUUGUAACCAAUACCCUCCCUUAAUGAACUUUUCCUCCCCAUUUCUGUGGGGGUUCGUUAUAACAAAGUUCUGUCACAUGCAGCCAGGGCCUUCUGUAGUUGAUAACCAUUGUCAAGGAGCUGGAAGCAAUGGAAGAGGAGAGCUGGGCUGCAGCAGAUGGAGAUGCUGAGAGAGUACUUAAAAAACAAAACAGAAAUUAACUGUUUAAAAAUGUGAUUAACACUGUCCAAGCUCCUUGCAUUACACCCUUUAGGAACAUCAUACUCAGCUAUGCUGAAACCCUUGCAAAUCAGACAGUGCAGAGACAGCAAAUCAUACAGCAUAUUCAUAAGACAGCCCUCUUUCAGCAAUGAAAGGGGACACAGCAAGCAGGAGUUCUCUACACUUGGUCUCCACUCAGACACCGGGCCUUUGCACAGACAUCCCCCUUCAUAUCAUAGAAACUGUAGAAAACAUAGAGAAGCAGAGCUGAAAGGGACCUUCACAGGUCAUCUAGCCCAAGCCCUUGCCUGAAGCAUAAUCAUCACUACCCAAACUUUAUACAAAUCCAUCAUCUAACCCAGGGGUGAUGCGUAGGGGGUGCACGUGCACCCCCUGAGUGUGGUGGUGCACCCCCUACAAAAAGGCAUUGCUGACCCACUUGACACCCCACCGCAGACACCGCUGGCAGUGUCUGUGGGUGGUCCACGAUUCCUGAUGGCUGCUGCCGGUGGUGGCUGCAGGUGGUCACUGCCCUUUGGUCAGUGCUUGCCAUCCCCACCGCCGACAGCGCCAAUGGCAUCUGCAAGAGCUCCUGCUUGCUGCCGCUGUGCUCCCGCCACCGCCGUGCCGCUGGGGGCAUGCACCAUUCAUGAUCUAACCUCUUAGUAAAACUACCAUCAACCCUGAAACAACACAAGACAUAACAACCUAACCAGCCACAGGUUUCACUUCAUCAGCCCUUGCCCUGAGGAUCCCUUCUGAAAUGUUAACUUUAUGUUUCAUAUUUUAUGUCCUGGGAGCAAUAGAGGUAAACCAGAACAAGGUGCACUCAUUCCUGACUAUGAGUGACCCCUGCAUGGAGUGCAACUAGCAGAACUAACGCUGAUAUGCUAGGAAUUUUACCAGGAAAAUUCCUGUUGUAGACAAGCCCCUGUUCUGGGGUAAGAAAUUUUGAGGGGCUGUACAUUUUUGUUCUGUGUUGUCAUGGUGUCCACCCUAGUGAUAAACAGAAGAAUGACUCUU